rfam:Babesia microti strain RI chromosome IV, complete genome.
GCGUUAGUAGUCCAACGGUUAGGAUUCCUGCCUUCCAAGCAGGUGACCCGGGUUCGACUCCCGGCUAACGCA